rnacentral:rRNA from 1 species
GAUGAACGCCGGCGGCGUGCCUAAUACAUGCAAGUCGAGCGAACAGACGAGGAGCUUGCUCCUCUGACGUUAGCGGCGGACGGGUGAGUAACACGUGGAUAACCUACCUAUAAGACUGGGAUAACUUCGGGAAACCGGAGCUAAUACCGGAUAAUAUAUUGAACCGCAGGGUUCAAUAGUGAAAGACGGAUUUGAUGUCACUUAGAGAUGGAUCCGCGCCGCAUUAGCUAGUUGGUAAGGUAACGGCUUACCAAGGCAACGAUGCGUAGCCGACCUGAGAGGGUGAUCGGCCACACUGGAACUGAGACACGGUCCAGACUCCUACGGGAGGCAGCAGUAGGGAAUCUUCCGCAAUGGGCGAAAGCCUGACGGAGCAGCGCCGCGUGAGUGAUGAAGGUCUUCGGAUCGUAAAACUCUGUUAUUAGGGAAGAACAAAUGUGUAAGUAACUAUGCACGUCUUGACGGUACCUAAUCAGAAAGCCACGGCUAACUACGUG